GGCGAACGCUGGCGGCGUGCUUAACACAUGCAAGUCGAACGGUGACGGAGAGCUUGCUCUUCUGAUCAGUGGCGGACGGGUGAGUAACACGUAAGAAUCUGCCUCCAGGACGGGAAAAACAGUUGGAAACGACUGCUAAUUCCGGAUGAGCCGAAAGGUAAAAAGAAAUUCGCCUGGAGAUGAGCUUGCGGCUGAUUAGCUAGUUGGUAGGGUAAGAGCCUACCAAGGCGACGAUCAGUAGCUGGUCUGAGAGGAUGAGCAGCCACACUGGGACUGAGACACGGCCCAGACUCCUACGGGAGGCAGCAGUGGGGAAUUUUCCGCAAUGGGCGAAAGCCUGACGGAGCAAGACCGCGUGGGGGAGGAAGGUUCUUGGAUUGUCAACCCCUUUUCUCAGGGAAGAAGAUCUGACGGUACCUGAGGAAUCAGCAUCGGCUAACUCCGUGCCAGCCGCCGCAGUAAAAC
rnacentral:rRNA from 1 species